rnacentral:lncRNA from 10 species
AGAAAGGGAACAUGGGCAGGGACAAAUAAGGGAAUAAAAGCUGGCCACCCCAGCCAGCAGUGGUAACCGGUUUGGGUCCUUUUUCGCAAUGUGGAGUCUUCGUCCUUUUGCUCUUCCCAAAAAACCUUGCUGCCUCUUACUUUUUGGGUCUGUGCCAUCUUUAAGAGCUGUAACACUCACCGUGAAGGUCCGUGGCUUCAUUGAUGAAGUCAGUGAGAAUCAUGAAGUCAGCCAGAGUACUGGUAGGAACCAACCCCAGACACACCAGCACUUUGGUAGGCUGAGGCAGUUGGAUCACCUGAGGUCAGGAGUUUGAGACUGGCCUGACUAAGAUAGUGAAACCCCGUCUCCACUAAAAAUGUAAAAGUUAGCCAGGCAUAGGGACGGGGACCUGUAAUCUCAACUACAGGGGAGGCUGAGGCAGGAGAAUCACUUGAACCUGAGCGCCAGAGGUUGCAGUGAGCUGAGGUCGCAUCAUUGCACUCCAGCCUGGGCGACAGAGUGAGACUCCGUCUUUGAAUAAAUAAAUAAAGUGGACUGGAGCGCUGUGCUUUGCUGCUGUCCAUGAUCUCAAUGGCUACUUUCUAGGAAGGUUACUACACAUUUUUCAUUGAAUUAUUAUACCACUAUUUCAAAAAAAGACAUGCAGAGGGGAAAUAUUUCUAUUUCUGGCCCAUUUUUCUCUAUCCCCAGAGUCCGGAGCUGGCUCUCCUUUACCAGAGUCAGAUCAUGGUCAUCAGACACGUCCCAUUCUCACUCAACCCAGGGGCAACAGAGUGCUGACCACAAAGCACGUGCUUAAUGAGUGAUGAGUGACCCAAAAAACAAAUCAGAAGAUGGGCAAAAAUUCAUCAUCUAAGGGACUAGAAGAAAUGGGAUAUCCUGUGAGGUUCAGAAAAGCCCAGCAAGGGUCAGGGGACACCACUGCAGAAGAAUCAUUGUCAAAUCAUCGCAUAGGAAAACCCAGCACCCUGGAGGGAAUCGACUGCCAGUUUAAGGAGUCAUUGUCCAGUUCAGACUCCAGAAUACGAAACGUAGAAACUGACAGGAAAUGACCAAGUAUAAAUUGCAACUUGUAAAGAAUCAUCUUAAAUCCUGGCACUGCGUUCAAGGGGGAGUUUGAGCAAGGAAUGUUGCUAAAACGGCUAAAACCAGGAACUCAGAAUAUCGUUCUACAAUAGAACCUAAAAACUGUUUCCAACCCAUCACGACAUCACCCUGAAAAAUGAGUGAGCAGUCACUGAGGCUUCCCAAGUUUGAAAAUUCCACAAGACUGAGAGCAAAUGUUUUGUUGAAACUGAAGUCAAGAUGAAGUCAGCUGACUCUCAAACCUCAGGUGAAGUGACUCAGGGCCCACACCCCGGUUCUGAGGCAGGGACACAUUUUACUUGCAGCACCCUGCAGCUUUGGAUGAGGCUGCAACCCGGGUGAAUCCUGGCCCUGCUAUCACGUGGGCAGCCACUGCAUCCUCCGGAGGCUGUGGAUGGGAGUCACCAUGCUGGGAGGUCUGGAGUAAGAUCUGUGCCAUCUGCCUUGCCCAAUCCUGUACCAGUGCCUGUGUUUCAAAAUCUCAAAAUAAAAGUGAUUAUUCUUGCAACACAUCUAGGUGUACUAAACGAAUAC